GAGAGCCGUAUGAUGGGCGACUAUCUCGUACGGUUCGGAGAGGGCUCGAAUACCAAAACAUUCAAUAUGUUUCUGAGAAAGUUCCACUCUAU
rfam:Physcomitrella patens mitochondrial DNA, complete genome.